AAUGAGAGAUUUUCUUUGGAGAAAGCUUUCAAGUGCCAGGCAUUUCUCCCCAUCAUGUGCCCCCCUAGUGGAGGAGGGGAGAGAGGGUGCUCUACUGGGAGCACUUCACAAACUCUUCUGGAAUGUAACUCGUGUGGCACAGAGGGUGAUGCCAGGCUCUGGGGAAGUGUCAAGUCAGGAGAUGCUAGCUAGCUGGCUGUGCUGAUGGCAGAAUAGGGAGAAGUGACUGCUGUCAGAAAUGGCCUAUUCCCUCAAGGUUUGUGGAGGCCAAGAAUGUGGACGUGUUCCCAGCAGGCCAGGAUCAAGACAGCCUAUAGCUAUCUUAAGAGCAACUGGGCUUUUGAAGCAGUCUAUGUGGGAUGGACUAACAGAAACCAGAGUCAACCAGGAGCUGGUGGAGAUGGCUCUCAAGAGAGAAUCAGCGACAGGUCUCCAAAUAAUCUGUAAGGGACUAAUUUGAAAGGUAGCUUAAAUGUCAGGGUCUAAGGAGACCAAUGCCCAGUUUUUCUAAGUUCCAGGCAAGUGAGACCUUUUCUGCCCCCACCUCACUGCAACCCCAGUGAAGCCAGUGCAGCCAGGGGGUGAAGAAGGAGUGGACUAGGUAAAGAUGUAGAGAUGAAUCUGACCACAGAUCCUUUAUACCCUGGACCACAAAAGGGAGGAGAAGAACUUGAACAGAAAAUGCAGUUAGGGGUUUGGAUUACUGCCUUGUGACUAAUAAAUAGGACUAGACACUUUCAUCCCCACAUAUAAGACAGUCAGCUCACAGAGAAAAAUGACAAGGUGGGUCUGCAAACAACGGAAGCACUGGCGCACCAAAACUUGAUCUACAGAGCCAUCUGAAACUAUAAACAAAUAUGCUGAUGAAUAUUAAGAAGAUGAAAGAAAGAAACCAAAGGUUUAAAAAUAUGAUGCUGAAAACAAUGAAAUGUCUCUAGGUAAUUAAACAGUAUGGCAGGUAAUCUAAUUUAAAACUAAAACCCAGCUCAAACUAAGAAAACAUAUUCCCACCCUCUGCUUGAUUUGCUUUCUUUCAAGGGCCUUUAAAGCAAAACACUAACCAUGAAGAGUUUUACUUUUCCCAGGAAAUGAAAUAUUUUCUAACACAGAACAGCAAAUAAAAUACUUUUUCUAACACAAAA
ensembl:lncRNA novel transcript, overlapping YWHAZ